GUAGUCCACGCCGUAAACGAUGAGAACUAGUUAUAGCGGGUAUAGACCCCUGCUUUGACGAAGCUAACGCAUUAAGUUCUCCGCCUGGGGAGUACGGUCGCAAGACUAAAACUCAAAGGAAUUGACGGGGGCCCGCACAAGCGGUGGAUUAUGUGGUUUAAUUCGAAGCAACGCGAAAAACCUUACCUGGGUUUGAAAUCCGGAGAACCUUCUAGAGAUAGAGGGGUGCCCGCAAGGGAAUUCCGUGACAGGCGCUGCAUGGCUGUCGUCAGCUCGUGUUGUGAAAUGUUGGGUUAAGUCUCGCAACGAGCGCAACCCCUAUUCUUAGUUGCCAGCAUUAAGUUGGGCACUCUAAGGAGACUGCCUGGGUUAACCAGGA
rnacentral:rRNA from 1 species